UCUGAGUAAAUUUAAUUAAUAAAUUAAAACUUUCAACAACGGAUCUCUUGGUUCUGGCAUCGAUGAAGAACGCAGCGAAAUGCGAUAAGUAAUGUGAAUUGCAGAAUUCAGUGAAUCAUCGAAUCUUUGAACGCACAUUGCGCCCCCUGGUAUUCCGGGGGGCAUGCCUGUUCGAGCGUCAUUUCACCACUCAAGCCUCGCUUGGUAUUGGGCGACGCGGUCCGCCGCGCGCCUCAAAUCGACCGGCUGGGUCUUCUGUCCCCUCAGCGUUGUGGAAACUAUUCGCUAAAGGGUGCCACGGGAGGCCACGCCGAAAAACAAACCCAUUUCUAAGGUUGACCUCGGAUCAGGUAGGGAUACCCGCUGAACUUAAGCAUAUCAAUAACGAGGG
rnacentral:rRNA from 1 species